rnacentral:rRNA from 1 species
UACGUAGGGUCCGAGCGUUGUCCGGAAUUACUGGGCGUAAAGCGCGUGUAGGCGGUUGUUCAAGUCAGGUGUGAAAGCCUUGAGCUCAACUCAAGAAAUGCACUUGAUACUGGAUGACUAGAGGACCGGAGAGGAUAGUGGAAUUCCCAGUGUAGUGGUGAAAUACGUAGAGAUUGGGAAGAACACCAGUGGCGAAGGCGGCUAUCUGGACGGUUUCUGACGCUAAGACGCGAAAGCGUGGGGAGCAAACAGG